GCGCUGCUGACGAGUCCGACGACAGGACGAAACGGUUGUCCAGUGC
rnacentral:hammerhead_ribozyme from 1 species